CUACGGGUCGCACCAGUGGGGAAUAUUGGGCAAUGGGCGCAAGCCUGACCCAGCAACGCCGCGUGAGGGAAGAAGGUUUUCGGAUUGUAAACCUCUGUCCUUGGGGACGAAGAAGUGACGGUACCCAAGGAGGAAGCUCCGGCUAACUACGUGCCAGCAGCCGCGGUAAUACGUAGGGAGCAAGCGUUGUCCGGAAUUACUGGGCGUAAAGGGUGCGUAGGCGGCAUAUUAAGUCAGGUGUGAAAUACUCGGGCUCAACCCGAGGGGUGCAUUUGAAACUGAUAAGCCUGAGUGUGAGAGAGGAAAGUGGAAUUCCUAGUGUAGCGGUGGAGUGCGUAGAUAUUAGGAGGAACACCAGUGGCGAAGGCGACUUUCUGGCUCAUAACUGACGCUGAGGCACGAAAGCGUGGGGAGCAAACAGGAUUAGAUACCCUCGUAGUC
rnacentral:rRNA from 1 species